GGAUGCGAUCAUACCAGCACUAAAGCACCGGAUCCCAUCAGAACUCCGUAGUUAAGCGGGCUUUGGCGAGAGUAGUACUAGGAUGGGUGACCUCCUGGGAAGUCCUCGUGUUGCAUUCC
rnacentral:rRNA from 1 species